rnacentral:rRNA from 1 species
ACUCCUGCGGGAGGCAGCAGUGGGGAAUUUUGGACAAUGGGCGAAAGCCUGAUCCAGCCAUGCCGCGUGCAGGAUGAAGGCCUUCGGGUUGUAAACUGCUUUUGUACGGAACGAAACGGCCUUUUCUAAUAAAGAGGGCUAAUGACGGUACCGUAAGAAUAAGCACCGGCUAACUACGUGCCAGCAGCCGCGGUAAUACGUAGGGUGCAAGCGUUAAUCGGAAUUACUGGGCGUAAAGCGUGCGCAGGCGGUUAUGUAAGACAGUUGUGAAAUCCCCGGGCUCAACCUGGGAACUGCAUCUGUGACUGCAUAGCGAGAGUACGGUAGAGGGGGAUGGAAUUCCGCGUGUAGCAGUGAAAUGCGUAGAUAUGCGGAGGAACACCGAUGGCGAAGGCAAUCCCCUGGACCUGUACUGACGCUCAUGCACGAAAGCGUGGGGAGCAAACAGGAUUAGAUACCCCAGUAGUCCCAUG